GUCAGUAUAAGGCCCGCACGUUAGCAUCAUAUUUGAAUCAUCCGAAGGGUAAGACCUCCGUUUGACAAACCCCCCCAUGUACUCCGGAGGUUAUAUCUGAAAGCCUUUC